rnacentral:lncRNA from 1 species
AAGAUGACACCCUAACCAAGGAAGAAAAAAUAAGGUCAGACUAAAUCAUCAUCAGGGAUAAAUAUCAUCAAACUGGGGAAAGAUACAAACUGAUAUGACUAAAACAUAAUAAUCUGAAACUGAAAAUGACAAAGUAAACCGACACAAAAUUUAAACACAAUACGAUGAAAAAGUAAGGAACCUAAUAGAGAACCUUAAAAGCAACCAAUAAAACUG